rnacentral:lncRNA from 1 species
GAAUCAAAAGGUAUAUUUUUCGUAAAAAAUGUAUGCCCUUUUUAAUUAGUAUUGUUUUGUUUUUGUGGUGUUACUUGUGUAUAUAACUCAUCUGAAUGGGUGUGAUACUUCCUAUUUUUUGGUGUGAAACUAUUUAACGUGUUCAGCUUUUAAAAGUCUAAAUUUUAUAUUAUUGUGUUCGGUGAACUAUAAAUGUAUUCACAUAUGAUAUCCAGACAAGAAGAUGAUCCCACAUUAUCACAUACGUUAACCAAAUUUCUAAAAAGUAAAAGCCAACACCG